rnacentral:lncRNA from 1 species
UACCGAGCGCAGCCUACGCGCCCAGCCUGCGUGGUUCCUGCUGGGGGCAGCCCCGCGGCUGCAUUUGCCCAUGUGCCUCAACAUUGCGACGUUGGUACCGUACUCAUUGCUGGUCAGGUCAUGGCACUAAAACGCAACGCUGUAUGCAUGCAGUUCAUGGUGACCUGCAAGGACCGCACAGGGGAGAUGAAUCCGGAGACUCAGCGCGUGGUGUGCUGCUGCGCCCAGUGUGAGGAGAAGCAGCCCGACUUCGCCCGGCGCUUGCCCAUGACCUUCUCUGCAUGGGAGAAGCACUGCGGCUCCAAGAAUAAGAGUUGGAACACGGUAGGUUCACGAGGUCGAACCUAGAAAAAUUUACCAGUCCACCGGCUGACUCACUACAUGAGCCAGGGGGCACAAAGCGCACGGCUGCUACUGUAAUAGCCGCUCAAGAGGAUAGCUUGCAGCGAGUUCCAGGCCACCCAGCGCCUCUGAUGCAAGUCAGUGCGUGGCCACUGACCGUGAUUGCCAUUGGUCACAUGCGUCAUGUCACGCACGCAGAGCCUGAAGGUCGUGCCCGGGUCGGGGCUGGCGGCGGUGCCGGCUGACAACAGGCCGGUGUCCAUCAGGGCCUUGCUGGCGCGGAGGAAGCUGAGGGUCGGCAGAUGGGCCCGCGGCACGGACGUGGGUAAGUGGCCGAUUCGCGGUUGUGCAGAUCCGUGCAACACCGAUGCACGCCCUUAAUAAGGAAGGGCUGGGUUAAUUGCCAGGUAGGAGCACGGGCUUAGAGCAGGCGGUGUUGUUCACAUCUGCCUGAGCUGAGCUACCUGACAACCACAUAAGCACUGCUGCGGCGGCAGCCUUGCCCUAGUUGAGCGUCAUAGCCGUGUUAGUGCUUGACAGUGCUUCAUGCGCUGUGCAUCCGUCCUUGACUACCGUACAUUGUUCCUCCCUCCCCUACACCGCACCACCGAUUCCCUAUCGCUGCUACCUCCGGAGCGCCCUGAUUUGUCCCGGCCCAACUUUGUUCUGAAUUACGGUACUCUUGGUGUGCGCUGCAGGCAAGCUGUACCUUGAGCGACUCGAGGAACCGACGAAGGAACCAUAAGGCAGUAAAAUAUUGUUGGCAAGCCAUUGCCAAGGUUGUCUGAUGCAAGUACCCGAGUAACGUAACGCUUGUAACGCAGCGCACAUGGCAGUCGGGGCAGCGCACGUGGCCUGGUACCGGGCCUUAGCCUGUCGUGGCCAGGUGGGCGGGAUGCGGGCAUGCAGCGGGUACUGUGGGAGCGGAGGUCCUGCAAUAUGGCAAGCGCAAAAGAGGUGGAAAGCGCAAAAGAAGAACACGAGGCAUGGUAACACGCGGCUACUAAUAAACUCGUGUGUUGCCUGGCUUUGACUGUACCGUACGUGCCAGCAGGGAGCCGGGUCCCAUGGUACGUGGUAAGGCCUCUGAAGAGAUUUGUGUCUUGCCAGAGAGAGGGAGAGAGACAGAGAGAAAUUGUGUGUGAGUGUGUGUGUGUGUGUGUGUGUGCAGGUGUGUGUGCAUGUGUUUGUGAAGCUGCACCAAGUAGGGCCAGGGGUCCGUGGGCUCCAGGAAGCGUAUUCUAUCUGCUGUCCUAUUGGCUAGGUAGGUGGCUACCCCUCCCCCCAAACAUUUGUGGCCCCUCCAUGCCUGGAUGGGCCCGGCAUGGGGUGUUGUCGAGGGCAGCCAGCGGACGUGUAACUGCUGCGUGCACGAGCACACACGGGGUGCAGGGCUUUGCCCGAUGCCCAUUCAUCAAAGCUCAUGUGCGUAACCUACUGAGCGAAGUAUGGCCAUGCAUAGACACGCACUUGGCUGUUUGUGGACGCGGCCGGCUGUCUGUGGCCGCCAUGGAUGUCCAUUGGAUGCCGUUGACACAGCCCAACACAGCAUUCGUGCAAGUCUAAAAGGUGUGGGCUCAGGUUGUACAACUGGACCCGCCACCUACACUGCCGCGCACAGGGCUGCGGGCACCGUCACGCCGACCUCCGUAGCACAUCACGUCCCGAUGUCUUGGUCGAUGUCUGGGCAGCCGCAUAUCGUGAACCCUGCUGGGCCUUACUGUGUUAUGUGGUCCGGACGGAGAUGUUCCAUCCUGCACGGCAUACGUCCCUGCAUGGAAGUCCGCGCACUUGGACGAUAUGACUCCCCAGCCGCUGUCGCCACCUCGAAAAUCCCCAACCCGCAACCACCCAAACAACCAACUCCUAGUCCUACUGCAAGGCGCAGCGACCGCAUCAGACAGCUAUGGAAAGCAUACUAUUAGCUUUAAGAGCGCAAUGACGAGUCUCGCUCGUCGGCGACACGACCGCUGGACUCGCAUCGGGUUUGCGAAGCGACUUUUCCCCUGCUACUUCUUCGAUGGUUCCAGUCUAAAUUUCCUUCGAGUAAUAUAAGUGCUUAUAUACUUCUGCAUCAGACCACACUGACGAAGCAGGAUAUAGGGAAAGAAUGCUGCUCUCGAGGCAAGCCCUUUCAUCGUCGCGCGUUGCCCCGGCUCGACGGACGUCUGCAAUUGUAAGGUCCAAGCAGCCAUGCGUCGUCGCGGCGCGCCAAGUGGCACGGCCUGCAGCGCCGCGCAACUCGGCACCCUCGCCGGGCCCGCUAGAUGAUGGCUCCAACUUGGUAGGUUGCACAUCAGCCAGGCCCCUGCUCUUGCUGCUAUAGCGACAGCAAGACAAUCUUGGAAACUCAUUAGAAAGGACCAAAGUGCGGAAGUGUCAGCCCUUGACGUGACUCCCGUGUCCAGUGGUCCGUGUCGGGAUGUCAGCCCUGAUGCUCGGAUGGAAGCUGGGGCGCAUACAUGUAGGGAGGGUAUCGUGCCACAUUGUCGCAUGCAUAUUGGGUGACAGGUUGCAGGAGGAACCACUACGGCGUGCUGCAGCACGAACGCAGUACAGAGCCUUUCACUGGCCGCCCGCCUCGGCCAAUCCAACUCCCUUGUCUUUUCCAAUUCGCAAUGUUGGUCAUCUUCGUUACCACUUACCAGUUUGGCCAUUUCAACUUGUCACUUACCGGCAUUUUGUCCACCCGGUUUGGCGAGAUGUUGCCAACCCGCGCCACAACCAUGUUAUCCCCAUGUUAUCCCGCAUCUCAGAGGAUCUCAGCCGGGUCGUGUACCCUGACCUGGUCUCUGGACAGUCUGGCAUUGCCGCAUCUCGCAGUAUUGCAAUAUUACUGUACUGACAGUGUUCUGUGCGCCGUGCGCCUUGGACAAUUGAAAAUCGACAACUUACAUUCAGGCCGCAAUCCCACGCAGGUACUGCCAACGUUCCAAGAGCUUUUCCCAACCAAGGUGCGGCAUUCUGGUCGUGACUCCCCGAUGCCGUUCUACUUGUAGCUGCACUUAAUGCGGGUACGCACCGUCACGAUGCUACAAUCAACGCAACGCUGUAUGCAUGCAGUUCAUGGUGACCUGCAAGGACCGCACAGCGGAGUUGGAUCCGGAGACACAGCGCGUGGUGUGCUGCUGUGCCGAGUGUGAGGAGAAGCAGCCCGACUUCGCCCAACGCGUGCCCAUGACCUUCUCUGCAUGGGAGAAGCACUGCGGCUCCAAGAACAAGAAGUGGCACACGGUGAGUUCAGCUCCCUAAGUUCGCGUGUUUCCCCUCCACCGCACACUCAGAACCCAGGUCAUGAGGUUGGCUAGUCAGGGCGGGGGCGGGGCGUAAACGGGUCCGCACUAAACACGAAUGCUUGCGGCUUGCCCAUGGAAGUCGCACGCCCAGAAUGGAGCGUGCCGCUACGGUAGCCAUGUGGCAGGGGAGUAUACCGUAUCUGUCUGCGGGCCUGUUGAUGUGUAGUAGCCACUCGGUUGGUUGAUGGGAAGGGCCUAGCUUAUUGACCUUGCCGGGAAGCAAGGCCUUUUGGGCUCUUCUUGUGUUGGGCAGUUGGGCUGAUGGUUGGGAUUGCGUCAUGUAACACAGAGCCUGCAGAUCGUGCCCGGGUCGGGGCUGGAGGCGGUGCCGACUGGCGCCAGGCCGGUGUCCAUCUGUGCAUGGCUGGCGCGGAAGAAGCUCAAGGUGGGCGCGUGGGCCAGCGCCAUCACCGUGGGUAAGUGGGCUCGCCGUGCAGUUACUGCAGUACGCUAUGCGUCUGCUACCAUACGGGUUCACUGCUGGAUUGGUACGGGGAUACGGUACAUGUGCAGAGCAGGCGGCGUGUGGGCUUGCCGUGUACCGAAGUGGUCUGAGGUUGCAGCCACAAGGGCACUCACAGCGCGCCUCAGCGCGGCGCCUUUCCUGGCAUUGGUACUUCCGUGUGUUACAUUGCUUCACAUGCUGUGCAUCUGCUCCCUUGACCGUGCAGUACCGUACCUCCCGCGCGUACCUCCCUCCCAUGCGCCAUAUCGCUAAUCCCUGCUGCUCCCUGGGAACCCACAUUCUCGUGUACGCUACAGGCAAGCUCUACCUGGAGCCGCUGGAGAAGACGCCAAAGACACCAAAGACACCAAAGCAGGAGUAAAACGCAGUUUGCGGGGGCAAAGGUGCCUGGCGGGAUUGCGGGACCAGUGUGCGGCAGCGCGUAAGGUGCGGCAGUUGGCGUUGAGGGCUUGACCUGCUGGUAGUUGAAACCACUGUGCGAAUGGAGAGCGUACAAAGCGCGUGGCGUGAUUCUAUGUUCGGACUGUUGGUUCCUGGUUUGUGCGUGCUGAGACCUUUAGCAGUGCAUGCUCGGAGCUGCAUCCUGGCUGGCUGGCCAUGACCGUGCAUGUGUGGCGUGCCACUACGUACUGGAGGGAUCGAUUGGAGCACGGCAACAUGCGUGCAGUGCCAGACAACGCACAAACCGCAGGUUCCCUAAUGUGGCGUGUUGGAUUUUAACAGGUUGGAACUGAUGACAAUCAUGUGGCCACAAUAUUCCACAGCAAACAGCGGGUUAACUUCCAGUGAGGCCCCAUGGCACUCUGGUGGCACGCUUCCUUUGCCCUCACUCACCCAACCCAAGGCAUUCGCCAUCUCGGUCGGCCCAGAAAGUGCCAUCGUCUUGCACGCGCACACCUGCACCCAGCCAGCCAUCUCACGUGUCACCAGCACCGGUACCCGCGCGCACGAUAUGCGACACACGUGCACACACUCGGCCGAUUCGUUCUACGGCUUUUGACUGAACCUGCAUUCUGCCAUGCAACGUCAACAGCUCCCAUACGGCCGUGAAACGGCUCGGGUGUGGGCGGGUUAGGCAGGGCCAGGGUUACGGACGGCAACAGGCGGGGCGCACGGCCAAAAGCUCAUGUGCGUAACCUACUGAGCGAAGUACGGCCAUGCAUAGACACGCACUUGGCUGUCUGCGGCCGCCAUGGAUGUCCAUUGGAUGCCAAUGACACCGCCCAACACAGCACUCGUGCAAGUCCAAAAGGUGUGGGCUCAGGUUGUACAACUGGACCCGCCACCUACACUGCCGCGCACAGGGCUGCGGGCACCGUCACGCCGACCUCCGUAUCGUGAAGCCUGCUGGGCCUUACUGUGUUAUGUGGUCCUGACGGAGAUGUUCCAUACGUCCCUGCAUAAAAGUCUGCGCACUUGGACAAUAUGACUCGCUCGCCAGCAGCCGCUGUCGCCACUUUGAAAGUCCCAAACCCGCAACCACCCGGACAACCAAUUCCGCGUUCUUCUGCAAGGCGCAGCGACCGCAUCAGACAGCUAUGGAGAGCAUACUAUUAGCUUUAAGAGCGCAAUGACGAGUCUCGCCGGCGACACGACGGCUGGACUCGCAUCGGGUUUGCGAAGCGACUUUUCCCCUGCUACUUCGUCGAUGGUUCCAGUCUAAAUUUCCUUCGAGUAAUAUAAGUGCUUAUAUACUUCUGCAUCAGACCAUACUGACGAAGCAGGAUAUAGGGAAAGAAUGCUGCUCUCGAGGCAAGCCCUUUCAUCGUCGCGCGUUGCCCCGGCUCGACGGACGUCUGCAAUUGUAAGGUCCAAGCAGCAAUGCGUCGUCGCGGCGCGCCAAGUGGCACGGCCUGCGGCGCCGCGCAACUCGGCACCCUCGCCGGGCCCGCUAGAUGAUGGCUCCAACUUGGUAGGUUGCACAUCAGCCAGGCCCCUGCUCUUGCUGCUAUAGCGACAGCAAGACAAUCCUGGAAACUCAUUAGAAAGGACCAAAGUGCGGAAGUGUCAGCCCUUGACGUGACUCCCGUGUCCAGUGGUCCGUGUCGGGAUGUCAGCCCUGAUGCUCGGAUGGAAGCUGGGGCGCAUACAUGUAGGGAGGGUAUCGUGCCACAUUGCCGCAUGCAUAUUGGGUGACAGGUUGCAGGAGGAACCACUACGGCGUGCUGCAGCACGAACGCAGUACAGAGCCUUUCACUGGCCGCCCGCCUCGGCCAAUCCAACUCCCUUGCCUUUUCCAAUUCGCAAUGUUGGUUCAUCUUCGUUACCAUUUAGCAGUUUGGCCAUUUCAACUUGUCACUUACCGGCAUUUUGUCCACCCGGUUUGGCGAGAUGUUGCCAACCCGCGCCACAACCAUGUUAUCCCCAUGUUAUCCCGCAUCUCAGAGAAUCUCAGCCGGGUCGUGUACCCUGACCUAGUCUCUGGACAGUCUGGAAUUGCCGCAUCUCAGUAUUGCAAUAUUACUGUACUGACAGUGUUCUGUGCGCCGUGCGCCUUGGACAAUCCCACGCAGGUACUGCCAACGUUCCAAGAGCUUUUCCCAACCAAGGUGCGGCAUUCUGGUCGUGACUCCCCGAUGCCGUUCUACUUGUAGCUGCACUUAAUGCGGGUACGCACCGUCACGAUGCUACAAUCAACGCAACGCUGUAUGCAUGCAGUUCAUGGUGACCUGCGAGGACCGCACAGCGGAGUUGGAUCCGAAGGCACAGCGCGUGGUGUGCUGCUGUGCCGAGUGUGAGGAGAAGCAGCCCGACUUCGCCCAACGCGUGCCCAUGACCUUCUCUGCAUGGGAGAAGCACUGCGGCUCCAAGAACAAGAAGUGGCACACGGUGAGUUCAGCUCCCUAAGUUCGCGUGUUUCCCCUCCACCGCACGCUCAGAACCCAGGUCAUGAGGUUGGCUAGUCAGGGCGGGGGCGGGGCGUAAACGGGUCCGCACUAAACACGAAUGCUUGCGGCUUGCCCAUGGAAGUCGCAUGCCCAGAAUGGAGCGUGCCGCUACGGUAGCCAUGUGGCAGGGGAGUAUACCGUAUCUGUCUGCGGGCAUGUUGUGUAGUAGCCACUCGGUUGGUUGAUGGGAAGGGCCUAGCUUAUUGAGCUUGCCGGGAGCAAGGCCUUUGAGCUCUUCUUGUGGCGGGCAGCUGGGCUGAUGAUUGCGUGAUGUAACACAGAG